rnacentral:lncRNA from 1 species
CGGGAAUACCGGAAAUAACACCGGGAACACCGGGAAUGGCACCGGGAAUGACACCGGGAAUGACACCGGGAACACCGGGAAUGGCACCGGGAAGAACACCGGGAAUGGCACCGGGAAUGACACCGGGAACACCGGGAAUGGCACCGGGAAUAACACCGGGAACACCGGGAAUGGCACCGGGAAUGACACCGGGAAUGACACCGGGAACACCGGGAAUGGCACCGGGAAUACCGGGAACACCCGGAAUGGCACCGGGAAUACCGGAAAUAACACCGGGAACACCGGGAAUGGCACCGGGAAUGACACCGGGAAUGACACCGGGAAUAACACCGGGAAUGACACCGGGAAUGACACCGGGAAUGACACCGGGAAUGACACCGGGAAUACCGGAAAAACCGGGAUACAGAACACCGGGACACGGAACACCGGGAACAUCAAGAAUACCGGAAACACCGGGAACACCGAAAACACCGGGAAUAGCGGGACACGGAACACAGGGAACACCGAAAACACCGGGAAUAGCGGGACACGGAACACCGGGAAUACCGAAAACACCGGGAAUAGCAGGACACGGAACACCGGGAAUACCGGGAACAGCGGGACACGGAACACCGGGAACACCGAGAAUACCGGGAAUACCGGGAACACCGGGAACAGCGGGAACAGCGGGACACGGAACACCGGGAAUACCGGGAACAGCGGGAACAGCGGGACACGGAACACCGGGAAUACCGAGAAUACCGGGAACACCGGGAACAGCGGGACACGGAACACCGGGAAUACCGGGAACAGCGGGACACGGAACACCGGGAGCACCGGAACCGGAACCGGAACCGGAACCGGAGCAGCACCGCGGGCUCGUCCUGCUGGUACCGGCGCGGUUGGGGGGCGAGAGCCUGAACCCGGUGUACGUGGAGUGUGUCAAGGUGGGUCUGGGGGCUACCGGGGGCGUUCCCGGGGCCGGUCCCGGUACCGAUCCCAGUGCUGGUACCGAUCCUGGUACCGAUCCCGAUCCCGGUGCCGAUCCUGGUACCGAUCCCGGUGCCGGUACCGAUCCUGGUACCGAUCCCGGUGCCGGUACCGAUCCCGAUGCCGAUUCCGAUGCCGAUCCCGGACCCGAUCCCGGUACCGAUCCCGGUCCCGGAGCCGGUCCCGGUGCUGAUCCUGGUCCCAGUGCUGAUCCCGGUCCUGGUACCGAUCCCGGUCCCGAUCCUGAUCCCGAUCCCGGUCCUGUUGCCGGUACCGAUACCGGUGCCGAUCCUGAUCCCGGUCCUGAUCGCGGUCCCGGUGCCGAUCCCGGUCCUGGUGCCGGUGCCGAUCCCGGUUCCGAUCCCGAUCCUGGUCCUGGUGCCGGUCCCCGUCCCGAUCCUGGUGCCGGUACCGAUGCCGGUCCCCAUGCCGAUCCCGGUACCAAUGCUGGUCCCGAUCCCGGUGCCGGUACCGAUGCCGGUCCUGGUGCCGGUCCCUGUCCCGAUCCCGGAGCCGGUCCCGGUGCUGAUCCUGGUCCC